rnacentral:lncRNA from 12 species
UGUGGAGUGAUGAGGAAGAAGCAACAAACAAAACUCUCCCUGUGUCUGACAAUAAAAGAAGAGGAUGUUGAGUUAAAAUGUAGUAGCAAAGGCUAUCACAAGAUUUUGGCAAAAAAUUCUCUGGGGCGAUGAUUCUGUUUAAGACACAAGAAGCAUCUGGAUUAAAAAUUUAGAAAGUAAGAGGUGGCAUAAAGGGUUCGUGUGGAGCUAGGGGGCCGCAGUCUUUGUUCAGGAGUGUUUAUCGUGACGGAUAAUUCAUCAUGUUAGAUCAGGAGGGAACCAGUCUGUCUUGGAUGUGUCUAAUACAAUGCAGCCUGGGGGCCAGAGCGGAAACCAGACCGCCUUUCAAGGUCCCUCCGAACCUGUGACUCUGUGAUUAGUUGAAUAAUUGAUGCUCUAAAUUGUAAUUAUUUUUCCCCUUCAGGGUAGACGGUAUGCAUGAAGGCAGUUGUGGAGAGAGAUGCACUGCGCAGCUCCAGUGGGUCAUUGAGGCACUGGGAUUCGUCUACUUAGAUCUGCUGGGAGUCCAUUUGAGGAUCCUCCAUUUCCCUCUGUUGAAAUACAUUAGUUACUAUGGAAACGUCAUGUCCCCCACGUGGAUGGAGUGUGUUGACAUCUACAAUUGCAAAGCACAAGCACGGGAAACUGAGUGUCCUGGCCGGAGAAAUACCUGAAGGGUCAGCAGGGAAAUAUUGACUUGAUGCACAACACACCUGCCAGGAUGGGGCCAACCUGCUCGCGGAUCAGAGGUUCCAGAAAACAGAAUGGAAGCCCAGCUGCAGGAUGGGCUCCCUCUGGGGUUGAGCAGUUCCCUGACUGCCGGCAUGGAGCCCAGUGCCCCCAUCCUUGGUGGUAUCUGCUGUUGCCAGCUCCCUUCACCCAGAACUGCCCCCAGACAACCGUAACACAGCUGGAGAGCAAACAGGUGAAUGAACAAUACCAAAUGCACGAUAUGAAAUCCUACCUAAGUGGCUCCAACCCACUCAAAUUUCCUCUUCCUUGACACAUCAAUUUUCUGUUGUAUAUAAUACUUCAUGGACUCUUUAUUCCUCUAAAUUUAGCUCUGCACAAAAAACUAUCUUGUUCAACAUUUUCCUCUCUUCACGUGACUUUGGUUUUAUGAACUCUUCUGUAUACUUUUUCAUAGACUUUGUUUCUCAACAUUUAGCAAUGUAUGAUAAAACCACAAGUGGUUCUUAUUACUCCUCUGUCUCAUUUCAGAGCUUGAGUUUAUGAAUUCCUACAGGAUAGAAGGCAAAGACAAUUUCUUAAUUCCUAGUGUGAAUCGUUUUUUUUUUUUUUUUUAAGAUUUUAUUUAUUCAUGAGAGACCAGAGAGAGAGAGAGAGAGAGGCAGAGACACAGGCAGAGGGAGAAGCAGGCUCCAUGCAGGAAGCCUGACAUGAGAUUCAAUCCCAGGUCUCCGGGAUCAGGCCUUGAGCUGAAGGUGGCACCAAACCGCUGAGCCACCAGGGCUGCCCUCCUAGUGUGAAUCUAAGUGCAAAAGAGACAUGCGGUUCUUGUUGCUUAAUUGAAAAUAGUUUCUCUUGGAAACUGAGAAAUUCAGCCCUGACUCUGCAUAUCAUUCAAGGUGAAGGGAAUAUGAGGCAGGAAACGCCGAGGGGUAGGUAGGAAGGGUGGGCAUUUACGGAGCACUUCUGUGUGUUGGGAACCAUGCAACGUGCUUUACAUGAAAUACCCCACUUAAUGUUUACCACCGCACUGUAAGGCGGUGCUAUUGUGAGCUUUCUUUUUUUGAGUGUGGAACCUGAGUCCCAAGGGUGGAAGUAGCUAGUAAGGUAGGGAAGUGGGGUCCAGGUGUAUCCACCUCCCAGGGCCUACCUUAUAGGUGGCUCUUUCCUCAGAUCUGCAGGAAUCCAAUGGCUUCAUCCACUCCUACGGAGAGACAGUGGAGCAAUACCACCUCCCGCCCUCUGUUGUCUUCCUUCGUCCCCAUCCUUUGGUUUAUUUUUGACCUCCGUCCAUUUUUUGAGAUCUGGACGUUUGCCCCCACAUCGCUCAUGAGCCACACAGGCAAAAAGUAGGUCCGGGUGGCAUCAUUUCUGUCCCAUUCCUUUCUUUCUCUCUCUCUCCCAAGUUCUUGCUCUAUAUGAGCUUCUGUCAGGGCCCCAGCGUGCUGUCUCAACACACAUCAGCAAGGCUGUUGUAGAAAUCUAAGUGAAAACGUCCACCUCAUCAAACCUGCACCUUCAUGACUCUGCUUUGCUGGGGUGUUCGGCUACCUAGUUAGAGCUUCAGGUAGUGUCUGUAAUUAAAACAACUGUGUUAUUAGCUCACAGUCUCAGAGAUAAAAAUAAAAACCGUAGACCCUUACUUUGGUCUGCA